GGAGGGUGCAAGCGUUGUUCGGAAUUACUGGGCGUAAAGCGCGCGUAGGCGGCCGGGCAAGUCAGAUGUGAAAGCCUUCCGCUUAACGGAAGAAGUGCAUUUGAAACUACCCGGCUGGAGUACGGGAGAGGAGAGUGGAAUUCCCGGUGUAGAGGUGAAAUUCGUAGAUAUCGGGAGGAACACCAGUGGCGAAGGCGGCUCUCUGGUCCGAUACUGACGCUGAGACGCGAAAGCGUGGGGAGCAAACAGGAUUAGAUACCCUGGUAGUCCACGCCGUAAACGAUGGGCACUAGGUGUAGGAGGUAUUGACCCCUUCUGUGCCGAAGUUAACGCAUUAAGUGCCCCGCCUGGGGAGUACGGCCGCAAGGCUA
rnacentral:rRNA from 1 species